rnacentral:rRNA from 1 species
AACGAACGCUGGCGGCAGGCUUAACACAUGCAAGUCGAGCGAGAACUUCGGUUCUAGCGGCGGACGGGUGAGUAACACGUGGGAACAUGCCUAUCUCUACGGAAUAGUCCCGGGAAACUGGGUUUAAUACCGUAUACGCCCUUCGGGGAAAGAAUUUCGGAGAUAGAUUGGCCCGCGCUUGAUUAGGUAGUUGGUGGGGUAAUGGCCUACCAAGCCUACGAUCAAUAGCUGGUUUGAGAGGAUGAUCAGCCACACUGGGACUGAGACACGGCCCAGACUCCUACGGGAGGCAGCAGUGAGGAAUAUUGGACAAUGGGGGCAACCCUGAUCCAGCCAUGCCGCGUGAGUGAUGAAGGCCUUAGGGUCGUAAAGCUCUUUCGCUAGGGAAG